rnacentral:lncRNA from 1 species
CCACAUCUAGCCCACUUAGUACCACAUCUAGCCAUCUUAGUACCACAUCUAGCCAUCUUAGUACCACAUCUAGCCCACUUAGUACCACAUCUAGCCAUCUUAGUACCACAUCUAGCCCACUUAGUACCACAUCUAGCCAUCUUAGUACCACAUCUAGCCCACUUAGUACCACAUCUAGCCCACUUAGUACCACAUCUAGCCAUCUUAGUACCACAUCUAGCCACAUCUAGCCCACUUAGUACCACAUCUAGCCAUCUUAGUACCACAUCUAGCCCACUUAGUACCACAUCUAGCCCUCUUAGUACCACAUCUAGCCCACUUAGUACAACAUCUAGCCCACUUAGUACCACAUCUAGCCCUCUUAGUACCACAUCUAGGACACUUAGUACAACAUCUAGCCCACUUAGUACCACAUCUAGCCCUCUUAGUACCACAUCUAGCCCUGUUAGUACCACAUCUAGCCCUCUUAGUACCACAUCUAGCCCACUUAGUACCACAUCUAGCCCUCUUAGUACCACAUCUAGCCCUGUUAGUACCACAUCUAGCCCUCUUAGUACCACAUCUAGCCCUCUUAGUACCACAUCUAGCCCACUUAGUACAACAUCUAGCCCACUUAGUACAACAUCUAGCCCACUUAGUACCACAUCUAGCCCUCUUAGUACCACAUCUAGCCCACUUAGUACCACAUCUAGCCCACUUAGUACCACAUCUAGCCCUGUUAGUACCACAUCUAGGACACUUAGUACAACAUCUAGCCCACUUAGUACCACAUCUAGCCCUCUUAGUACCACAUCUAGCCCUGUUAGUACCACAUCUAGCCCUCUUAGUACCACAUCUAGCCCUCUUAGUACCACAUCUAGCCCACUUAGUACAACAUCUAGCCCACUUAGUACAACAUCUAGCCCACUUAGUACCACAUCUAGCCCUCUUAGUACCACAUCUAGCCCUCUUAGUACCACAUCUAGCCCACUUAGUACAACAUCUAGCCCACUUAGUACAACAUCUAGCCCUCUUAGUACCACAUCUAGCCCACUUAGUACCACAUCUAGCCCACUUAGUACCACAUCUAGCCACAUCUAG